rnacentral:lncRNA from 1 species
UAAGGAAAACGUUCCCCUGGUCAGGACGCUGGAGCGCGCAUGGGCCUCGCAGCCAUUGACGACUGGACGCGAGCUGCGGUACAAACCCCGACGCGGAGACGUUGGCGACAGUGGCCGCUGGGGGAGCUGCUGAGUGCCGCCCAGCACUGGGCUCCCUUUCCCUUCACUCUCGGCAGUUUCUUGCCUCCGUGGGUGGUUGGCGCGUCUGCGGAGCCAGAGUCGUUGUGUGGAUCGUGGGACUGCAGCCCCAGCCAAAGGGCUGUCACGUCUGGUCGGUUCCGUCACCCACGGUUCCGGUUUCCAGUCGUUAAGGGUCCAGCAGUCUGUUAAGUAGCUCCCUGUCCCUUCUGGAAGCUUGGCCAGGGAAGGUCAUUCCACCUUUGAGUUCCAGAUGAAAUCUCGCUCUGUCAUCCAGGCUGGAGUGCAGUCGCACUAUCUCAACUCAUUGUAACCUCUGCACUUGUUCCCUAAAAUCACUGUUAUUCUGUUCUUUUUUAAGG